UUUCCUUCUUAAAGUGGCGAGGCUUUAGUUUCUGCAAAACAGAUUGACUAUAUAGAUUUUUAAAUUUGUGCAUCCUGACUGCUGUUUGAAGGGCUGGCUAUAUUGGAUGGGCCAUCGUAAACAGAAUCGUAUUUAAGAAAUGGCAGGAUUCUCCACUUGCCAGAUGAUGGCCCCUGAUAUCCCCCUUCUCUGUCAUAAGACAGACUGCAGAGGGUUUUUGUAACUACCUUUAUCCCCCCCAAACUGAGAGCUCCGGGAGGCAUGGACCAUGUCUAUCCUGUUAAUAACUGUAUUUUAUCUCUAUCCCUGAGAACCAUGCCUAGCAUAGAACAGUUGCUUAGGAAAUAUUUGUUGAAUGGGGGAAAAAAUAGUAUUUUCUCAGGAAAGGCUAAAAGAAACAACAGUGGACCUCCAGAGACCAAGGUUUCUGAAGAAGAUGCAUUAAGAGAUGUACUCUACUCAUUCCCUAGGGUAAUAAUAGCUCUCUUCAGAUAAUGAACUUUCCUCUCUGUAAAUGUCUGCCUUGCUAUAUUUCACUCAACACCAUCGGGGAAAUGCCCACAGGUUAUCAGAAAAUAUACUACUAUAUCUUUUAGACCUUAAUGAAUCAUUCUAAAAUUUUGACGGGUCACAAUAAAAAGUUAGAAGUGUCCUAAGUUCUUAUGCUCAUAUUGGUAAUGUCAGAUCAGUUUUACACCUGUGUAGGUCUUGGUUAUGCUUAUCAAAAUAAGUUAAGAUCCACCUUUUACAUUAGAAAUGUAGCAAUCACAACAACAAAAACUGAACAAUGACUACAAUAAUUAUUGCAUGCAGCAAUUUCUAAUUUACAAGGUAUUUGCACAUCCAUAACAUCAUUUGCUUUUAAUAAUGCCCCUGUGAAGGGGGAGGGGAGAGAAAAAGAGAGAGACCAAGACCCUUAUUUUACAGAGACAGGCCUAGAGCUCACACAACUGAGUCACUCAGCAGCAUGCCGUUAGUAAAUGAAUAGCUGGGAAUUUCAAUGUGAAAUGAGAACAAAAACACAGUCAACGGUAUUUAGAAGAUGACUGGUUUAUAAAACAUAAACUUAGUUCACUGUCUCUGCUUACCUAACAUACCCAAUAGAGACACUGUCCAGAAAUUACAUUCUUUAUAGUCAAGGAUCAUUAUCAAGCCCUGUCAUCAUUAUUUCUGUUUCCUACAGGGCCAUGGAGAAAAGUGUGUGUGCUCCUGAACUGGAUGAUAGGUUUUUAAAUUAGUUCUUUUAUUCCUUUAAAAUACAAGUUGACAAGAACUAUCAUGGAGGACAGACAGGACUGGGAACAAAACACAGGGUUUGGACACUGUUAUGUUGACACUGCUGAGCAGCGAUGGUGGAAGGAAGUUAAGCUACUACAGUAAUCCAGAUACUUAAAAAGACGUGGAGAGAGAACCACUCUCCCUCAGCUCAGUUCAGUCCCCAUGGCCCAUGAAGACACAUGCUGGGAUACAAAGACUGAUGAAACACUUGAGAGCCAAAAGAAUUCAUCCAUCUCCUUGGCACUGAGUACGGCACUAUGGAAACAGUGGGAACACUGCAAAUAUUUUCUGAAUAGUCUUAUAAGACCCUAUGUAUCUUUAAAAUAAUUGCAUCUUAAAGGAAAUUCUAUUAUAAUAUUAACUAAUAUAAACUAACUUUUACUUCUAAAUAUUUAUUUGAAUGAUUUUAUAAAGGCAGAAGAUACCAGAUUAUUUGCCCUAAUUUGAAUUGUUGUUAAGGUUACAAGUUGCACAUCAGUGGGGUUUUCCCCCUUGUUCCUUUAGUAAUAGCUAUGCGUGUGGCAAUGUGCCUCAGUAAUAGCAUUUCCCAGCCACCAUUGUUGGUAGAGGUGGCCAAUGAGAUGCAAGUGAAAGCUACCAGAUAGGGCUUUUGGAAGAGCAAUUUAAAGGGGGCCUGCUACCAGAUAGGGCUUCUGGAAAGAGUUAUUUAAAGGGGGCUUGCUUUUGCCUCAGUCUUCUAUGGCUGGAGAUGCAGCAGCCAGGUUGUAAUCAGCACAAUGGAAUACUGCUUGGCUGUGCAGGG